rnacentral:lncRNA from 1 species
AUAAAAAUGUUACCUGUAAGGGGGUAGUAAGAUUUAUCGAUAAGAGUUUUACAGAUGAAAUGAUUGUCAAAUAUUCUGAAACAAAAAUUGAUAAUUGUAAAAUUAUUGAAGCUAGAAGAUUAAGUACGAAAAAAAAGAAUUCCAAUAGAAUCACCACAUCUAAUCAGGAAAGUUUAUUAGAAAAUAAUGCGAUCACUACUAAAAAUAUGGAGGCUGAAUAUAUACCUACAGGUACCAUAAGUAUCACCUUCUCGGGAACUACUUUACCAAAAAGUAUAUAUAUUUGUGGCAUAGAACAUAGGGUUCUUCCUUAUAUAUUACCGGUUGUUCAAUGUUAUAAUUGUUUAAAUUAUGGUCACGUAAAAAAAA